CGACAGCACCCACUGAAACAGCCAAGGUGGGAAUACUAUGGAGAGGUGUUGAACAGCAUAUUUGAGCCUGAAUCAGAGGAAGAAUCUGAAAUAGAGGAGUAACCAGUCGCCCAUAGAUUGGAAAUGACUACUUCAGAGUGGUUAUUAAAAGAAUGACCCAGGUUCCUGAGGAGCUGACCUGAAUGACCAUCAUGGCCUCAAUCCGUUGUGCCUCUAUAUUCUUUGCAAAAUGCAAUGAAUAUUUACAGAGCUGACCAUGGCCGUUUGAGAAUCAGAGGAAUGGAAAGGCAAUGAAGUGACUUGGCCUACAGGUCUUUUGUGAGCAGGAGCUGGGGUUUCCUUAGAAGAAGCGUCCGUGUCAUGAUCCCCUUGUUUGUGGUGCUACGCAUAUGGAGGGAGCUUCCAGAUACUUCAGGGCAGUACGUUGGAUUCAGACCCCUUUUCGACUGAACCGUGACACAUGUUCAGCAACAGCAUCCUCCAUGGAAGGUCUGUCAAGCUGAGCACACAAGUCCUGGGGCACAGGAAUCCGCUGGACGGCAUCCCAAUAAGGAAGAGGGUCUUUGAUGAUCUCGAAGAGGACUUAUAUACUGGAUACUGUAAUACAGUGCAUUGUAGGCUGUAUACUGUACAAUAAACAAAUUGUAUGGCCCUGAA